rnacentral:lncRNA from 1 species
UCCUGAAUGUUUGGAUCCUGGGGAUGGUAUCCCGGUUGUCGAGGGUUUAAUGGAGAAUUGUGGUGGUCUCGAGGGGGAGAGCAUUCGCUGGGGAUGCGUCUUGCAAAAUGGUGGAAGUACCAAUCGGCACAAAGAUUCGAACAUGAGGAAUGAAUGGCAAAAAGUUAAGAGAACAAUUGUAAUGGUACAAAGUGUCUUUAGUUGCUUUCCUUUAUACAAACUGAUCUAUUCAUACUGCUCUUAUGCUUGUAAUUGCAUACUUGGACCAAAUAAUUGAAAACUGUUUUUCUCUUUCUUGGUCAUUUUUGAUAAUGUAAUGGGCUCAGACAUAUCGUC